AAUGAACGCUAGCGGCAGGCUUAAUACAUGCAAGUCGAGGGACAGCACAGGUAGCAAUACUGGGUGGUAACCGGCAAACGGGUGCGGAACACGUACACAACCUUCCUUUAAGUGGGGAGUAGCCCAGAGAAAUUUGGAUUAAUACCCCGUAAUAUAGUUGAAUGGCAUCAUUUGAUUAUUAUAGCUACGGCGCUUAAUGAUGGGUGUGCGGCUGAUUAGAUAGUUGGCGGGGUAACGGCCCACCAAGUCUACGAUCAGUAGCUGAUGUGAGAGCAUGAUCAGCCACACGGGCACUGAGACACGGGCCCGACUCCUACGGGAGGCAGCAGUAAGGAAUAUUGGUCAAUGGACGCAAGUCUGAACCAGCCAUGCCGCGUGAAGGAUUAAGGUCCUCUGGAUUGUAAACUUCUUUUAUUUGGGACGAAAAAGGGCCUUUCUAGGUCAACUGACGGUACCAGAUGAAUAAGCACCGGCUAACUCCGUGCCAGCCGCCGCUGUAAUAC
rnacentral:rRNA from 1 species